UGUCUCCUACACAUACAUCUAAUGAGAGUUUAUGUUUAAGAUUCGAGUUAAAAGGUUGACAUUUUUUUGAAGGAAGUUAAAAGGUUGACAUAUUAAAAUAACAAAUUUAUGGCCUAUGAUGCUAUAUAAUCCUCCGUCUCAAAAUGUAAGUAAAAUUGGAUCAACAUAAAUGAAUGUAUUUGGUACAAAUUUUGAAUCAAAUAUAUUAAAUUUUGUUGACCAAAUUUUACUUAUAUUUUAGGAUAAAAUAAGUAAUACGCAACAUCCAAAUCAUAGAAAUCACGAAUCAUGUCAUAUUUUAAGUAAUGAAUAAAUUGUUUUUACA
rnacentral:lncRNA from 1 species